UAUCUAUGUCCAUAAACCAUAGCAUCUUAACACUUGAAAUUAAACAAGCAAAAUAUCUAAAAUUCUGAUAGAAACAAUAAUUAAUAAUAUAAGAUAGAAUAAAAAUAUCAAAUCUACAAAAAGAAUCCCACAGUUUGCAAGUUUAAAAAAUACUAAGUUUCAUAAGGGUGUCAUGGUGCCCGUGGCCGCUUGGACCUUCUC
rnacentral:lncRNA from 1 species